AGAUACAGGUGAGGGCAGUUGGCCGUCCCAUCAAAGCCAGGGUACAGUCGGCUGGUUCGACUUACCAGGCAGGUGUCUUUCUUCCCCAGCUUCUCCAGGAUUCUCCCAAACCUGUGUCAUUGACUGAAGUCAGUGACCUUUCUAGGAAAAGGAGGGCCAUCCUUCCAUCAAAAGUCUAUGAGUAGCCACAUUCCCCUGUUAGAAGUUGGCCUCAAACAUAUUCCAGAGGGUGAAAGCCUUGAAGGACAAAGUCCCAACUUUCGUGGACCCACUUCUAGCAUGAAGUCAGCUAGAGAU
ensembl:misc_RNA 7SK 7SK RNA